UACGUAGGGGGCAAGCGUUGUCCGGAUUUAUUGGGCGUAAAGAGCGUGUAGGCGGCCAGGUAGGUCCGCUGUGAAAACUCGAGGCUCAACCUCGAGAUGUCGGCGGAAACCAUCUGGCUAGAGUCCGGAAGAGGAGAGUGGAAUUCCUGGUGUAGCGGUGAAAUGCGCAGAUAUCAGGAGGAACACCAAUGGCGAAGGCAGCUCGCUGGGACGUGACUGACGCUGAGACGCGAAAGCGUGGGGAGCGAACAGG
rnacentral:rRNA from 1 species